UUAAAAGCCUGGGACAGAGUACACGAUUUAAGCUUAAGAAAGCUUCUCUCAUUCUCUUUCAGCCAAAACCUAAAUAUGACCAUUUUACCACCUUUGAGCCCAGACAUAUAAGAUAGGACAACGAAGAGUGAAGUGAUGGGCUCACUAAUGAGAAAUGAUGUGGCCUUCCCUUGGGGCAUAAAGAAGAUGCUCCAAAGAGUUAGAAAGUUGUGAUUCUGUCCCACCAUUGAAACUGCCUCAAAUACAAUUAGAAAAUUAU